rnacentral:rRNA from 1 species
GGGGGGGGGGGGGGGGGGGGGGGGGGGGGGCGGGGCGGGGGGGAGGGGGGGGGGCGUGGUCCUCGGGCGUUGGCGGCGGGCGGUUGGGUGCCAGCGGGGUAACCUACGUAUGAGACUGUGAUAACUUCGGGCAACCGGGGCUCAUACGUGGUACUCUCUUGACACGCAUGGUUCAGUAGUGGACGACGGUGUGGCUGUCCAUGGUAGAUGGAUCCGCGGCGCAUUAUCUAUUUGGUAAGGUAACGGCUUACCAAGGCAACGAUGCGUAGCCGACCUGAGAGGGUGAGCGGCCACACUGGAACUGAGACACGGUCCAGACUCCUACGGGAGGCAGCAGUAGGGAAUCUUCCGCAAUGGGCGAAAGCUUGACGGAGCAACGCCGCGUGAGUGAUGAAGGUCUUCGGAUCGUAAAACUCUGUUAUUAGGGAAGAACAAAUGUGUAAGUAACUAUGCACGUCUUGACGGUACCUAAUCAGAAAGACACGGCUAACUACGUG